rnacentral:rRNA from 1 species
UAGGAGCUGUGGUAGGUGCGUAAUGUUCCCUACUAGAAAGGAGAAGGCAAGGCUGGUGCCAGCCGCCGCGGUAAAACCAGCUCUUCAAGUGGUCGGGAUAAUUAUUGGGCUUAAAGUGUCCGUAGCUGGUAAGGUAAGUUCCUGGUAAAAUUGGGCAGCUUAACUGUCCUUAUGCUAGGAAUACUGCUUUACUAGAGGGCGGGAGAGGUCUGAGGUACUACAGGGGUAGGAGUGAAAUCUUAUAAUCCUUGUAGGACCACCAGUGGCGAAGGCGUCAGACUGGAACGCGCCUGACGGUGAGGGACGAAAGCCAGGGGAGCGAACCGGAUUAGAUACCCGGGUAGUCCUGGCCGUAAACGAUGCACACUAGAUGAUGGUGCGGCCAUGAGCCGUAUCAGUGUCGUAGGGAAACCGUUAAGUGUGCCGCCUGGGAAGUACGGUCGCAAGGCUUAAACUUAAAGGAAUUGGCGGGGGAGCACCACAAGGGGUGAAGCCUGCGGUUCAAUUGGACUCAACGCCGGGCAACUUACCAGGGGAGACAGCAGAAUGAAGGUCAGGUUGACGACCUUACCUAACAAGCUGAGAGGAGGUGCAUGGCCGUCGCCAGUUCGUGCUGUGAGGUAUCCUGUUAAGUCAGGCAACGAACGAGACCCGUGCCUUUAUUUGCCAUCAAGAAGUCACGACUUCGUUGGGAACGAUAAAGGGACUGCCGUCGAUAAGACGGAGGAAGGAGCGGGCAAAGGCAGGUCAGUAUGCCCCGAAACCCCUGGGCUACACGCGGGCUGCAAUGGUGCGAACAAUGGGCUGUGACUCCGACAGGAGAAACCAAUCCCGAAAUCGCAUCUCAGUUGGGAUUG